AUAAGAUACCCAAAAUGCGCACAAAUCCCAUAAACUUUAACAUGUUGUGUAUUACUUGCAACCAUAUUUCGCACCAAAGUAGGUAUUUAUGAAAUUUGAGAUUCAAGACAAGAAAUUCUUACCUCAUUAUCCUUCUUGAGGUGUCUUAUGUGGUCUCAAACUGUGUUGAAGUGGCAGCCAUAAUUGUUAUCAGGUGUCUCACCUAGCAAACCAUCUUGUUCAUUAUUACUCUGCCACUACCUGCAUCCAACAUCCGUCUUUCUAUAGGCAACAGUCCUUCAUAGAAGUAGUGUAUGAGGGACUAUUUUGAGAUGUUAUAUCGAGAGCAACUUGCGCACAACCUCUUGAAUCUUUUUCAGUACUCAUGAAGACUCUCCGAGUCUUUUUGCUUGAUGCCAUAUAUUUCCC
rnacentral:lncRNA from 1 species